AUUGCUUCUCGGCCUUUUGGCUAAGAUCAAGUGUAGUAAUAUUACAUGUAAUAUGUAACAUAUAAUUAAUAUUAUUAUAUUGUAUUAUUAUUAGUAUUAUAUUGUAUUACAUUAUAACACUAUGAUCCAUAUUAUAUAUAUAGACCAGGGGUCCUCAAACUUUUAAAGUGGAGGGCCGGUUCAUGGUCCCUCAG
ensembl:snRNA U2 U2 spliceosomal RNA